rnacentral:rRNA from 1 species
GAUUAACGCUAGCGGAAGGCAUAAUACAAGCAAGUCGAACGGGAUAGAACUUAGCAAUAGGUUCUUGAGAGUGGCGCACGGGUGCGUAACACGUAUGCAACCUACCUUUAACUGGGGGAUAGCCUCUCGAAAGAGAGAUUAAUACCCCAUAACAUAUUGAAUAAGCAUUUAUAUAAUAUUAAAGAUUUAUCGGUUAAAGAUGGGCAUGCGGCUGAUUAGGUAGUUGGUGAGGUAACGGCUCACCAAGCCAACGAUCAGUAGGGGGUCUGAGAGGAUGUCCCCCCACACUGGUACUGGGACACGGACCAGACUCCUACGGGAGGCAGCAGUAGGGAAUAUUGGACAAUGGGGGCAACCCUGAUCCAGCCAUUCCGCGUGCAGGAAUAAGGCCCUAUGGGUCGUAAACUGCUUUUGUAUGGGAAAAAAUCAUCUUACGUGUAGGAUGUUGAUGGUACCAUGAGAAUAAGGAUCGGCUAACUUCGUGCCAGCAGCCGCCGUAAUAC